ACACUUCUGACUGACUGUGAUGAUAAGCAAAAGAGACACUGUGGAUGUGUGAUGUGUUGUACUGCAUUUGUUUGAUCUGUUUACUAAUACUAGCUCUAAUAAAUACUGUAUAAAUUAUAUUUUGCUCCUGAAUUGAACUGUGUUAAAGGGGUUCACAUGGAAAAUAUAUGGUCAAUUAUGUAAAGGGUGAUUUUUGUUACUAUUAUACUAAUGGAGAUUUAGCACUUGCUACACAUUGUAAGAGCAGCUGUUCAAAGGAGCACUACGUCUUUUAAGGCUCUUUAUUCAGAGUCACGGUGUUGAUGUCCUGUCACGUGUUACAGUGAAAAAUAACCGUGUCUCCCACCUUCAGUAUUUAAAUCGUUAAUCUCAGACAGACUUCACUGAAUUCUUUUGUUAAAUAUGAGUAAGUCAUAGCCUUGUAACUUUACUAGAACAGACAGUGUCAUACAGAGUUGUGGGCUUAUAUGCACUACCUAUUUCCUAAUCUGAAAUGAUUAUGCUCUGAUUAACUUUGAACUAAUAUUUUAUUUUUACCAUUUAAAAGUCUGUUAAUUACUUAACCUGGCCCAUGUAUGACUUUACAUAUCUGUGUAUUGGUUUCAUGUUCCUCUAGAAGGUCCAACUUGACACACAACUUGAAUCCAACCAGACUGAACACUGACUCCAGGGACAGACGAGCCUGAAGGACACAGCUGUGAUGACCAUGUUCUGUCUCUUAUGGCAAAGCAGAAAUAUAAAACACUGGGUUCUUAUCUAAAGUGUAUCAAAUCAGAUCUCCACCAUGUUGCUGCUGAGGACAUCAGGUGCUGCAGUUCUUCAUCUAUGAAGAGAAAAAACGCACUGUUAAAGAAUGUUUUGUGUUGUGUAUAAAGCACAACAGAUUUCUGAUAGAACUGUUGUACUGUGGUCUUGGUUUAUAUCCUCAUGGUGAAAUGUACAUAUUUUAAGUCCCUUCUGAUAAAAGUGCUGAAAGAAAUACAACAUUGUACAAAUACAUAAAAUGUCUUUCUACCUCAUCAGUACUAUUCAAGGUGAUAAUCUCCCACAGACCUAUUGAUAACAGUCCAAAUCAAGUCUUUCCACUUCUCUCAGUGUGAAAACAUAAUUCUAUAAUUAAUUUGAGAACUGUUUACAACACUGAUGUGUGGAGAUUAAAAUCAUACCUAAACUGUCUAAUUCACUGUAAAACUCCAUGACAUUCGCAGGCCAUCUGUAGUUAAGGGAGCAACGCAUGGAGUGAUGUGUAGAUUACUAGUUUGAUGAUGCAUGAGGAGAGGCGGUGGUCGAGUGGCAGAAACUUGGACUAUGGGCAGAGAAGGUCUCUGGUUCGUCUUUGGUUCGACUCCAUGGAGAGACAACAAAAGUCGAACCUGGAUUGAUCUGUCCAAAAAUCCAAGAGUCUCCCUACCCUCUCUAGUGCCCAUGAGCAAGGCACCUCACUCCCCCAACAUCUGCUCCCCCGAGCGCCGUACAUGGUCGCUCACUGCUCUGUGUGUCCUGCACCAGAUGGGUAAAAAGCAGCGAUUAAAUUUCCCUACCUGCAUGAGUGUGCCUUUGCAUGUCUGUGCAUGUGUUUGGGAUGAAUAAAUGGAUUUUAAUCUUAA